GACGGAGGGGGCUAGCGUUGUUCGGAAUCACUGGGCGUAAAGCGCGCGUAGGCGGCUUAUCAAGUUGGGCGUGAAAGCCCGGGGCUCAACCCCGGAAAUGCGCCCAAAACUGGUUGGCUUGAGACCGAGAGAGGGUGGUGGAAUUCCCAGUGUAGAGGUGAAAUUCGUAGAUAUUGGGAAGAACACCAGUGGCGAAGGCGGCCACCUGGCUCGGAUCUGACGCUGAGGCGCGAAAGCGUGGGGAGCAAACAGG
rnacentral:rRNA from 1 species